CAGUUGGCAUGGACGUAAGAUCUGAGACAUCCUCCUAUGGGGUGGAAGGGUCCUUUCUGACUCCAUCUGUGGCCCUAGGCGACCCUGCGGGAGGAAGUGAAGCUGGAAGAACGAGAUGCUUUCCCCAGCGGGGAAAGACAGAUACAUGGCACUCAUGCCUCUGGGGUCAAGGCUGUUGGCCUGGUUCCCAGGGGCUGAGGGGGCACCUGCAGAGGCUGCUGGCCUUUGCUGCUGGCUGACUAGCCUGGCUCCAGAUGGCUGCGGCAGACAAGAAGACCCCUGGCGUGCUUCCUUGUUCAGUAGGAUUUGUAAAUCAGCAGAAUGAGGCUUGAAUUCAGCCAGAGAAACUCCCCAAAUAUGGCCCUUCUCAGACUCACUCUGCUCAGCCCGAGGCCGGAAGCCAGGCAAGAGCCUGCCCGGAGGCAGAUCGGCCGGCGCUGCGAGCUGAGCCUGCAGGCGCGUCCGCCUGGCCACCC